UACACCGCUGACAGUUGAAAUACUGUUAUAUCCGCCUUUAUAGGUUUUGGUGAGUGGAAAUUAUUCCGGUCAGGAGCUGCAAGUAGUGAGCAAUGUUCGAAAGCGGCGAGGAGAUAGAA
rnacentral:ncRNA from 1 species